rnacentral:rRNA from 1 species
GAUGAACGCUGGCGGCGUGCCUAAUACAUGCAAGUCGAGCGAACAGACGAGGAGCUUGCUCCUCUGACGUUAGCGGCGGACGGGUGAGUAACACGUGGAUAACCUACCUAUAAGACUGGGAUAACUUCGGGAAACCGGAGCUAAUACCGGAUAAUAUGUUGAAUCGCAUGGUUCAACAGUGAAAGACGGUCUUGCUGUCACUUAUAGAUGGAUCCGCGCCGCAUUAGCUAGUUGGUAAGGUAACGGCUUACCAAGGCAACGAUGCGUAGCCGACCUGAGAGGCGGAUCGCCCACAUGGGACCGGGAACAGGGACCAGACGCCUACGGGAGGCAGCAGAAGGAAACCUGCGGCAGUGGGGGAAAGCCUGACGGAGCAAGCCGGCGUGAGUGAAAAGGGCCUCGGGAUCGUAAAACUCUGUUAUUGGGGAAGAACAAAUGUGUAAGUAACUGUGCACGUCUUGACGGUACCUAAUCAAAAAGCAACGGCUAACUACGU